UACAUUUUUAGGUUCAGCGGAAGUAUACAAAAGCAGAUGGUUUGCGUAUGAUGCUCUGGCCUUUCUGAAUGAAAGAAACCAACCGCGAAAACGAUCUAAUACCAAUUGAAUGGGGCUUGAAUUACCACAUGUUUGCCGUCCAUACUACCCAAACAAUGCGGAAAAUUCCACUGAGAUUCAUAUUCUUCUGCUAUUUUUAUCCAUUCAUUAGGAGAAUCGGGCAACUGAAAUAAAAAAAGGUCAUUGAUGAUGAAAAAAACGUAAACGAAACAUCGGCGGAGGGAAAGGUCGAUCAAGCAGAACCACGUUCUGCACCAAUACCACCCAAGAAGAAACGACCCACCGACCAAAAACUGGACUUAUUGAAGCAAUCAUACGGAAUAUUAAAAGCGGCCUCAGACAACGUUAAUUCACUUUCUAAUCAAAUGAGUAUUCAGAAUGAAGAGGUUCGGUAUUUUUGUGGAUUCAUUGGAAAUAAAAUGUCUAAAUAUUCAGACAUAACUAGAGCUUCAGUUCAACAUGCAAUUCACAAUAUCAUUUUUCAAGCUGACCGUGGGUUCUAUGAGGCCACCUAUACCGGAAACAUGCACUACAUGGGACCAUCUACAUCAACUACUUCAUUUGCACAACACAUACCAAAUACAUAUUCGAAUAACACGAAUUCAUUCUUUAAUCAACUACAGUCAGGACAAAUUCCCGGGCAGCAUUCUUCCACACUUCCGACACCGACAGCUGAAGUCCCCACACCAUCUCCAUGUUCAUCUUCAGUACAUUCAUACACUCAGAUCUCUGAAGAAACAUCACAAUCUGAAGAACCUCAGUUUGAAGAUUUACUCUA